UACGUAGGCAGCAAGCGUUGUUCGGAGUUACUGGGCGUAAAGGGUGUGUAGGCGGUUCCUUAAGUUUGCUGUGAAACCUCCCGGCUUAACCGGGAGGGUGCGGUGAAUACUGAGGGACUAGAGUACGGGAGAGGAAAGUGGAAUUCCUGGUGUAGCGGUGAAAUGCGUAGAUAUCAGGAGGAACACCGGUGGUGUAGACGGCUUUCUGGACCGUAACUGACACUGAGAAGCGAAAGCAUGGGGAGCGAACAGG
rnacentral:rRNA from 1 species